CUAACCUUAAAUCAUAAAGUUGUGAUCUGUUGUGUUGCUGUUGGAUGUCUGAUGAUUGUCGCUUCAGUUCUGAUCUUCUGGAUCUACAGGAAACACAAAAACACACAUCAACAGGUUCAGACCGGUGAAGAGGAAAUCACUUACGCAGAAACAACUUUCCAUAAAAGACAAACACAUAAA